AAUUUCCUCCUCUCCGUUGGUGUCGAUAAACGUCGAGUUUUUCCUAUGCGUCCGUUGGCGUAUAAUUGAUAUCUUUCCCCACAGGGUCGUCCCCAGUUGAACCUCCUCUCCGUUGGUGUCGAUAAACGUCGAGUUUUUCCUAGUCGUCCUAUGACGUCUAGUUGCUUAUUCCCCGCAGAUCAUUUGGUAAUGCCAGAUGAC
rnacentral:lncRNA from 1 species